GAGUUUGAUCAUGGCUCAGGAUGAACGCUGGCGGCGUGCUUAACACAUGCAAGUCGAACGAAGUAGCAAUACUUAGUGGCAGACGGGUGAGUAACAUGUGGGUAUCUGCCCUUUGGCCUGGAAUAACACGAGGAAACUUGUGCUAAUACCGGAUAAGUCUUUACGGAGAAAGCUUUAUGCACCAUUGGAUGAGCCCGCACUUGAUUAGUUUGUUGGUAGGGUAAUGGCCUACCAAGACUGUGAUCAAUAGCUGAUUUGAGAGGAUGAUCAGC
rnacentral:rRNA from 1 species